GACGAACGCUGGCGGCGUGCUUAACACAUGCAGGUCGAACGCUGAAGCUUGGUGCUUGCACUGGGUGGAUGAGUGGCGAACGGGUGAGUAAUACGUGAGUAACCUGCCCUUGACUCUGGGAUAAGCCUGGGAAACUGGGUCUAAUACUGGAUACGACAUGCCACUGCAUGGUGGUGUGUGGAAAGGGUUUUACUGGUUUUGGAUGGGCUCACGGCCUAUCAGCUUGUUGGUGGGGUAAUGGCCUACCAAGGCGACGACGGGUAGCCGGCCUGAGAGGGUGACCGGCCACACUGGGACUGAGACACGGCCCAGACUCCUACGGGAGGCAGCAGUGGGGAAUAUUGCACAAUGGGCGGAAGCCUGAUGCAGCGACGCCGCGUGAGGGAUGACGGCCUUCGGGUUGUAAACCUCUUUCAGCACGGAAGAAGCGAGAGUGACGGUACGUGCAGAAGAAGCGCCGGCUAACUACGUG
rnacentral:rRNA from 1 species